CUGUGGGCAUGUACUGGCUCUCUGUUAUCCACUGUUGAUAACUGUGGGCAUGUACUGGCUCUCUGUUACCCACUGUUGGCACCUUAGUAAAUAGAUUAACACAGUUAAGGAUUUUAACCUUUCACGACCGGGGUUAGGUGUGAGACUGAGAUAGAAGAGGUGAGUUACUUCUCCACCUGGAGUACUGUCACCCCGCCUGGAGUACUGUCACCCUGUUUGGUCCCUGAGAUAUGGCACCUCGGGCACCCUGAGAGAUUAGAGCGCCUGCAACCAUCUAUCUAUCUAUACUAAUGAGCGGUAACCACCCAGUAAGGUAUGGUAACUACCGUUAUUGUAGUCGGGAAUUACUUCGUAUAUAUUUUUCCUUGAAAGGUUUCCUUAGUUAAAGGUUUAAUUAAUUUUAAAAGUAUUAUAUUAUUCUUAGAUAAAAGUAAAUGUGUUAGUGAUAUUAAAGUAUUUUUUAUAUUAUAGUUGAGUAAAUUAGUAAUGUUGGCAGCCCUGAUUCGUCAAUAUGUGCUCUGUCCGAAGCUGAAGAAUUUGGGUUGCUGUACAGUACGUAUACUUAUUUUUAUUUAUUUUUCCGUAAAGUUUUUCCUUAUUGUUUCUUUUCUAUACUACGAUAUAAAUUAAUUUACCCUAAAAUUUUUAAUAAAACUUGAAUGUACGAUUAAGGUUAGAUUUAUUUUUUUAAUAUUCCCACAAUCGUGUACAGUUUUUGGCUUGGCGGGAAAACACUACUCAGAGGUGAUUGGCAAAUGGCCUCGUCGGACCCAUCCAGUGUCACUUGAGACUCGGAGGGUGGAGGUGCUGACGGUCGUCUCUCUCACUUGCCGGUCUACGUUCGUUAAAUAUAUGAUGACGGUUCCAGUUGUUCCUGUUAACGGCCAGUUUGCUGCUUCUAGUGGUCGUCAGCGUGGAUAGUACAGCACCUCGUUAAGGAUGAUGACUUGAAGAUGGAGGAAAUGACCACCACAAGAGUUCUUCUGGUGACCUGACUCUUGCUGCAACAGACACAAGUCAGGUUAGGUACAGUACAGGUCAUCUCUCAUUGUGGUUUCUUCACUAAACUCUUGACAAAGUACAGUAAUUGUAACCCAUGGACUGCCUUGUCAAGUUAACUCUUCUAAGUGUAAAUAUCAAUGAAGUAU